GCAGCCAUUAGUGAUUCGAUGCAGGCCUCCAAGCUUUAGAAAUGAGUUGAUAUCUGGAAGUGCUCCCACAACUGAAGGCUUCACUGCUGUCCUGUAUUCUGUGUUAGGUUUGGUGAUUGCCUGAUCUGUUUCUUGGGAGUUAUUUUUCAUGGCUAAGAGGAGAAAGAUGAUAAAAAAAAAAAACAAUACGCAAAGAAGAUGCCGCAACUUUUAAAGGAAGAAAAGCUCAACUCAGCUGUACUUCUCACCACGUGGCAAAGGAUGGACCAAAGGCUGGGAGCAACUGGGAGUGUCUGGGAACACUUUCUGGUUGUCACAGUGAUCAGCAGCCAGGAGCAGCCUGCAAUGUGAAGACAGUCC
rnacentral:lncRNA from 1 species